rnacentral:sRNA from 1 species
UAGGAGAAAGCAUCAUGAACACAGCGAAUGAUUUGGGACGCUUUCGACGACCUGCCGCCGCGCGUAUGCGAGGGGUGGUACU